CCUACGGGAGGCAGCAGUGAGGAAUAUUGCUCAAUGGGGGUAAGCCUGAUGCAGCAAAGCCGCGUGAGUGAAGAAGUACUUAGGGAUGGAAAGCCCUGUCAGCAGGGGAGAAAAUGGCGGUACCUGACCAAGAAGCCCCGGCUAACUACGUGACGGCAGCCGCGGUAAUACGUAGGGGGCAAGCGUUAUCCGGAUUUACUGGGUGUAAAGGGGGCGUAGACGGCCAGUCAAGUCUGGAGUGAAAGCCCGUGGCUCAACCACGGGAUUGCGUUUGAAACGGUGUGGCUGGAGUGUAGGAGGGGUAAGCGGAAUGCCUGGUGUAGCGGUGAAAUGCGUAGAUAUUAGGAGGAACACCGGUGGCGAAGGCGGCUUACUGGACUGUAACUGACGUUGAGGCUCGAAGGCGUGGGGAGCAAACAGGAUUAGAUACCCUUGUAGUC
rnacentral:rRNA from 1 species